AUUGAACGCUGGCGGCAGGCCUAACACAUGCAAGUCGAACGAGUGGCGGAAGGGUGAGUAAUGUCUGGGAAACUGCCUGAUGGAGGGGGAUAACUACUGGAAACGGUAGCUAAUACCGCAUACCAUCGGAUGUGCCCAGAUGGGAUUAGCUAGUAGGUGGGGUAAAGGCUCACCUAGGCGACGAUCCCUAGCUGGUCUGAGAGGAUGACCAGCCACACUGGAACUGAUACACGGCCCAGACUCCGACGGGAGUCAGCAGUGGGGAAGAUUGCACAAUGGGCGCAAGCCUGAUACAGCCAUGCCGCGUGUGUGAAGAAGGCCUUCGGGUUGUAAAGCACUUUCAGCGGGGAGGCGUUACCCGCAGAAGAAGCACCGGCUAACUCCGUGCCAGCAGCCGCGGUAAUAC
rnacentral:rRNA from 1 species